rnacentral:ncRNA from 1 species
UCUUAUCAAGAGUGAUGGAGGGACUGGCCCUAUGAUAUCCGGCAACCUGAAUAGAUUUUGUAUUCAAUGGUGCUAAUUCCAGCAGGUAUACCCUGAAAGAUGAGA